AAACCAGCACUUCAAGUGGUCAGGAGGAUUAUUGGGCCUAAAGCAUCCGUAGCCUGUUCUAUAAGUUUCCGGAUAAAUCCAUUAGCUCAACUAAUGGGCCGCCGAAAAUACUGUAGAACUAGGGAGUGGGAGAGGUAGACGGUAUUCGGUAGGAAGGGGUAAAAUCCUUUGAUCUAUUGAGGACCACCUGUGGCGAAGGCGGUCUACCAGAACACGUUCGACGGUGAGGGAUGAAAGCUGGGGGAGCAAACCGGAUUAGAAACCCGGGUAGUCC
rnacentral:rRNA from 1 species